GUGCCAGCAGCCGCGGUAAUACGGAGGAGGCAAGCGUUAUCCGGAAUUAUUGGGCGUAAAGCGUCCGCAGGGGGCGCAUCAAGUCUGCUGUUAAAGGUCGGAGCUAAACUCCGGUAGAGCAGUGGAAACGGGUGCGCUAGAGGGCGACAGGGGUAGAGGGAAUUCCCAGUGUAGCGGUGAAAUGCGUAGAGAUUGGGAAGAACACCGGUGGCGAAAGCGCUCUACUGGGUCGCACCUGACCCUCAGGGACGAAAGCUAAGGUAGCGAAAGGGAUUAGAUACCCCUGUAGUCUUAGCCGUAAACGAUGGAUACUAGGCGUGGUUUGUAUCGACCCAAGCCGUGCCGAAGCUAACGCGUUAAGUAUCCCGCCUGGGGAGUACGCACGCAAGUGUGAAACUCAAAGGAAUUGACGGGGGCCCGCACAAGCGGUGGAGGAUGUGGUUUAAUUCGAUGCAACGCGAAGAACCUUACCAGGGCUUGACAUCCCGCGAAGUUUGGGGAAACUCAGACGUGCCUACGGGAACGCGGAGACAGGUGGUGCAUGGCUGUCGUCAGCUCGUGUCGUGAGAUGUUGGGGUUAAGUCCCGCAACGAGCGCAACCCUCGUCCUUAGUUGCCAGCAUUAAGUUGGGCACUAUAGGGAGACUGCCGGUGACAAACCGGAGGAAGGUGAGGAUGACGUCAAGUCAGCAUGCCCCUUAUGCUCUGGGCAACACACGUCCUACAAUGGUCGGGACAAAGGGGAGCGAGCUCGCGAGAGUAAGCGAAUCCCAGCAAACUCGGCCUCAGUUCAGAUAGCAGGCUGCAACCCGCCUGCUUGAAGGAGGAAUCGCUAGUAAUCGCAGGUCAGCAUACUGCGGUGAAUUCGUUCCCGGGCCUUGCACUCACCGCCCGUCAAGGG
rnacentral:rRNA from 1 species